rnacentral:rRNA from 1 species
GUAAGGAAUAUUGGUCAAUGGGCGGAAGCCUGAACCAGCCAUGCCGCGUGCAGGACGACGGCCCUACGGGUUGUAAACUGCUUUUGCCCGGGAAUAACCCCCCGCUCUUGAGCGGGGCUGAACGUACCGGGAGAAUAAGGAUCGGCUAACUCCGUGCCAGCAGCCGCGGUAAUACGGAGGAUCCGAGCGUUAUCCGGAUUUAUUGGGUUUAAAGGGUGCGUAGGCGGCCCGUUAAGUCAGGGGUGAAAUACGGCAGCUCAACUGUCGCAGUGCCCUUGAUACUGACGGGCUUGAAUACCGGUGAAGGCGGCGGAAUGAGACAAGUAGCGGUGAAAUGCAUAGAUAUGUCUCAGAACCCCGAUUGCGAAGGCAGCUGCCUAACCGGCGAUUGACGCUGAUGCGCGAAAGCGUGGGGAUCGAACAGGAUUAGAAACCCCUGUAGUCC